GGUCAAAUAGGAUCACCUGGAGAAAGAGGUGGAAAAGGAGAGAAAGGGAAUCCAGGGAACUGUUCGUGUGGGCUUGGCCCUUGUGGCCCACCUGGCAAACGAGGUCUGCCAGGGAUACCUGGGAGAAAAGGAGAAGUGGGAACACCUGGAAAAUAUGGAAGAACAGGUGAUCCCGGUUUUCCUGGUAGAAGAGGAGAACCAGGAUCCUUAGGAUUGCCAGGUCCAUUUGGACUGACAGGUGAAAAAGGAGAUAAAGGUGACUCGGUUGAAAUAAGGA
rnacentral:lncRNA from 1 species